GGGUUGUGAGGUUAAGCGACUAAGCGUACACGGUGGAUGCCCUGGCAGUCAGAGGCGAUGAAGGGCGUGCUAAUCUGCGAUAAGCGCCGGUAAGGUGAUAUGAACCGUUAUAACCGGCGAUACCCGAAUGGGGAAACCCAGUGUGAUUCGUCACACUAUCAUUAACUGAAUCCAUAGGUUAAUGAGGCGAACCGGGGGAACUGAAACAUCUAAGUACCCCGAGGAAAAGAAAUCAACCGAGAUUCCCCCAGUAGCGGCGAGCGAACGGGGAGGAGCCCAGAGCCUGAAUCAGCAUGUGUGUUAGUGGAAGCGUCUGGAAAGGCGCGCGAUACAGGGUGACAGCCCCGUACACAAAAGCGCAUGUGUUGUGAGCUCGAUGAGUAGGGCGGGACACGUGGUAUCCUGUCUGAAUAUGGGGGGACCAUCCUCCAAGGCUAAAUACUCCUGACUGACCGAUAGUGAACCAGUACCGUGAGGGAAAGGCGAAAAGAACCCCGGCGAGGGGAGUGAAAAAGAACCUGAAACCGUGUACGUACAAGCAGUGGGAGCACCCUUUGGGGUGUGACUGCGUACCUUUUGUAUAAUGGGUCAGCGACUUAUAUUCUGUAGCAAGGUUAACCGAAUAGGGGAGCCGGAGGGAAACCGAGUCUUAAUUGGGCGUUAAGUUGCAGGGUAUAGACCCGAAACCCGGUGAUCUAGCCAUGGGCAGGUUGAAGGUUGGGUAACACUAACUGGAGGACCGAACCGACUAAUGUUGAAAAAUUAGCGGAUGACCUGUGGCUGGGGGUGAAAGGCCAAUCAAACCGGGAGAUAGCUGGUUCUCCCCGAAAGCUAUUUAGGUAGCGCCUCGUGAAUUCAUCUCCGGGGGUAGAGCACUGUUUCGGCUAGGGGGCCAUCCCGGCUUACCAACCCGAUGCAAACUGCGAAUACCGGAGAAUGUUAUCACGGGAGACACACGGCGGGUGCUAACGUCCGUCGUGAAGAGGGAAACAACCCAGACCGCCAGCUAAGGUCCCAAAGUCAUAGUUAAGUGGGAAACGAUGUGGGAAGGCCCAGACAGCCAGGAUGUUGGCUUAGAAGCAGCCAUCAUUUAAAGAAAGCGUAAUAGCUCACUGGUCGAGUCGGCCUGCGCGGAAGAUGUAACGGGGCUAAACUAUGCACCGAAGCUGCGGCAGCGACACUAUGUGUUGUUGGGUAGGGGAGCGUUCUGUAAGCCUGUGAAGGUGUGUCGUGAGGCAUGCUGGAGGUAUCAGAAGUGCGAAUGCUGACAUAAGUAACGAUAAAGCGGGUGAAAAGCCCGCUCGCCGGAAGACCAAGGGUUCCUGUCCAACGUUAAUCGGGGCAGGGUGAGUCGACCCCUAAGGCGAGGCCGAAAGGCGUAGUCGAUGGGAAACGGGUUAAUAUUCCCGUACUUGGUGUUACUGCGAAGGGGGGACGGAGAAGGCUAUGUUGGCCGGGCGACGGUUGUCCCGGUUUAAGCGUGUAGGUGUGUGUUCCAGGUAAAUCCGGUUCACUUUAACACUGAGGCGUGA
rnacentral:rRNA from 1 species